rnacentral:rRNA from 1 species
AUUGAACGCUGGCGGCAUGCCUAACACAUGCAAGUCGAGCGAGCGGCGCACGGGUGAAUAAUGUAUGGGAAUCUGCCCGAUAGAGGGGGAUAACUACUGGAAAGGUGGCUAAUACCGCAUACUAUUGGAUCAGCCGAUGUCGGGUUAGCUAGUUGGUGGGGUAACGGCUCACCAAGGCCACGAUCCGUAGCUGGUUUGAGAGGACGACCGGCCACACUGGAACUGAGACACGGCCCAGACUCCUACGGGAGGCAGCAGUGGGGAAUUUUGGACAAUGGGCGAAAGCCUGACCCAGCAACGCCGCGUGUGCGAUGAAGGUCUUCGGGUCGUAAAGCUCUUUUGUCAGGAAAGCGGUACCUGCACAAUAAGCACCGGCUAACUACGUGCCAGCAGCCGCGGUAAUAC